UACGGAGGAUCCAAGCGUUAUCCGGAUUUAUUGGGCGUAAAGCGAGCGCAGGCGGUUGCUUAGGUCUGAUGUGAAAGCCUUCGGCUUAACCGGAGUAGUGCAUUGGAAACUGGGAGACUUGAGUGCAGAAGAGGAGAGUGGAACUCCAUGUGUAGCGGUGAAAUGCGUAGAUAUAUGGAAGAACACCAAUGGCGAAAGCGGCUCUCUGGUCUGUAACUGACGCUGAGGUUCGAAAGCGUGGGUAGCAAACAGG
rnacentral:rRNA from 1 species